UCACACUUGGAACGGUUUCGCAUGCCUUUGCGCACGGCGGAGACCCUGGAGGCCGCAUCCCGAAGCCUGUGCAUUUCUCUGGGCUUGCAGACGCCUGGCCCCGCUCUUCGGCUGCAAACCCCCUUCCUCCCACCCCCUUCCCUUCCCGCAGCGGGGAGCGGUGCCGACUGGGAAGCGGUGCCCCCAGCCCGUCCCCGCACGCCGGGGCUCCCUGCCCGCACGUGGGCGGCCGCCAGCCUUGGGCUGCUGCUUCGGGGCCCCGCGAAGCCCGAGGGGCUGCCGGUGGGCGCGAGGACGGCAGGGCACCGCCGCGCUCACCCUCCGCCCGCCCUGUCUUCGCGCAGGUAAAGCGCUGAAAUGCCACAAAUGCGUCGCCUCCAACGAGAACGACUGCAACAAGCAGGGCUCCCACAGCUGCCCCCAGUACGCGGACGCCUGCGCCACCAUCACGGCACCCAACAGCAUCAUUAAGUCCUGCUCCUACAAGUCCUUCUGCGACGAGGGGCGGCGCGGCGGCUCCGGCGGGGCCACCCUGCAAUGCUGCUUCAGCGACGACUGCAACGGGCCGCAGCGGGGCCCGCGGAGCGCCGGCGGCGACACGCCGCUGCCCCUGCCCGGCCUCCUGGCCCUGGCCCUGGCCGGCGCCCUGCUGCUGCGCUCGCUGUGACGGCGGCCGGCCCCGUCCGCGGGCCGCUCGCUGCUAGCUGCACCAGCGUAGGGACGAGCACGGCGACAACCCGCUGCGGACAGCUCGCUUGCCGCGAGCUUCGUGCUCUAGAGCCGGAGCCGCCCUCCGCUAAAGCCCGGGAGAGGCCAAGCCGCCCACGAGUAGAAUAAACGCUGCCGCUGAAAAUCGGAUUUGCAGCUACUGCUUUUCAUUUACAGGCAAACCGUAGCCUAGCAAGAGAACAGGCCCUGGCCAGACCGAUGUGGCUCCCCAGCGCGCCCUGUUUGCACGCGCGCUCGCUUGGGCCACGUCUGCCGCGGCAGCUCAGCGUCUUGGCCAGCUUCGCCGAGCAGCGAGGGCCGGGGCACGGCGCGGGCGGCCGGACCGUCGCCCCUUCCCGGCUAACUAACGCGCUGCCCCGGCUGAUGUGCUGCCGCGCUGGUGUGCGCUAACUUGAGGUCUGUGUGUCAGCUGCGGGGACGGUUUCUUUCUUCCUGCGGCUGCACAGAUAUGGGGCCUGGAUAGACUAUAAAUAUAUUUGGUGUGAAACAUUG